rnacentral:lncRNA from 1 species
GAGUUUUCUGAUGGAGAGAUGACUGUAGCUCUCACUUUACUGACCACAGACAAGGAGGACUGGCAUGAUUAUGUAGAUGGGCUGAAAUCACUCAGUCAUCGCCAUGGAUGCAAUGGUUUGGUGGUUCUCUUGUCCAUCAGUGAUACAGUUCACCAUCCUCGCCAGCAGGUGGCUGUCUACUCCAACAACACAGAUCUCCUAAAUCAGAUCUGCUCUGAGCUUGAAGAGUCUUCCAGCUGGUCUCUGUCUGGUGAACUGGAAGCUCCUGAGAAUCUUCAGGUCUACCACAUUCCGAUAAACACUGCCACAUCCUCUGGCACUCCUCCUCUGCUGGAGGAAGAGAUCCGGGGCAUCCUCAAGGACUUUAUGGACAGGCGGAGUUCUGUAUUAGCCUGCCAUCCUAGCAGCAGGACAUCUUCCACGGAGGGAGUAGCCGGCAGUGUGGAGUUCUCCCAGGGUUCAUCCGGUAUCAAUGACAUGGAUGGUUCUGACAUAGAGAGAGCUGAUGGAGGC